GCCAAAUGAAUAAUAAUGUGUCAGGUCUAGCUACAUCAGGCUUGCCUGGCACCACUUUCAACCCAGUAGCAAAUGAGAACAGCUGUCUCAUCUGGCUGCACUCUUACCCACUCUCCAGGUAAUGUCCUGUCUAUGGUAUGCCUGUUUAUCCUGGAGUAGUGAUACAUGUUGCCUAUUUUUACAAUGUCUUAUUCACAGUGCCCAACUGUAUUUGGAAUCCUAAUUGAUGAUCCAUCUUGAGCAGGUGUAAUAUAAUCAACUCAAGCCAAUGUUCUCCUCCACCUUGCUAUGUAAGUAGUGUAGUAUGAUGCAUAAUGCCUAGUCUGGUUCUAUGAAUCCAGAAGGGCACAAACCAAAACAUUAAAUGGAAUGCUAGCAACUAUGAAUACAGUCUUUAAGCAAAUUUGUUUGGCUUUGAUACCUGUUAUCCAGCGACUAAAGAAGAUUGACAAACUGCCACACAGACUGAGACCAGCUCAGAGUAGCAGUAUUAAGUCCCUCUCUCUUGUCAUCUUGCCUUCUCAACUGAUGUUUGGUCAUGUCACAUCCCAAAUAUACACCCCAUGUGUCUUCUUCUAUGUUUCUGGUUUAGAUCAACACAGAGUAUCGGUCCGAGUUUGCUUAUUGCCUUGAGUCUCUGUUGCUGCUGGGCCAAAGACGCUCUGUGUCCAUUGCUGGGAGUGUCGGGAUUGAGUUUGGGCAAUGCCAGUGGACUGCUGCAGUCGUCCCUGUUCGUGCCCUGCCACUCACCUCCCAUCAGUGACAUGUCCCUGGGUUCAUCCGUGGUGCCGAAGCCCACCGCUAUAUCAUCACCACGGAGACCCCAUUUACUGAGCACUGUCGCAACUAUGAGAACAGCUACAGGACGCUGCAGACAUCCAUUCAGCAGCUGA
rnacentral:lncRNA from 8 species